UUUAAAAAUUAUUAAGCACGGCAUUUAUUGAAUAAUAUUGUUAUUUUUAUGUUAAAUAGCUGAUUUUUUUCUCUGAAUGAACCAUGCCUUAUCUGAAAGAUUUAGCUGUAACUUUACUAUUUUAAGAAAACUAACAAGAUCACAUCCCUGCCUUUCUCCUUUUUCCCAUUUCUUUCUUCCUCCUUCUCUCUCUGUCUGCCUUCCUUCCCUCCCUUUUCUCCUUUCUUGCCUUGUCUCAUCCCACCUCUCUUUUCCUUUCUUUUCUCUCACCCACGAAAUGGCCAUGUGCACAAGCCUGAUGGAUGCCUCAUUCUGUGAAUAAACUGGCGGUGUUGAUCUACAGCUGUAUACAGACCACAUCUUUCUUCUAAAGCUGCAAGGCACACAUUUAAACUCAAAUCUCAGAGAUUGCAACACCUAGAUUGCAGUACAAAUUGGUAUGACCGACCAGACCCAGCAACCAUCGAUCUUCAUUCUUCCUGCCACCCUGAAAACUGAAACCUUUUGUAGCAAGAGGUAACUAAAAUUCUGAAGUCGGCUUGCAAUAAAGGGAAGCAACAACUUUAAGAUUGGACUGAAAUAUCUGACAGCUCUCUGAAACAAAACAAAAACAAAAUGUACC
rnacentral:lncRNA from 1 species